GACGAACGCUGGCGGCGUGCUUAACACAUGCAAGUCGAACGGAAAGGCCCUGCUUUUGUGGGGUGCUCGAGUGGCGAACGGGUGAGUAACACGUGAGUAACCUGCCCUUGACUUUGGGAUAACUUCAGGAAACUGGGGCUAAUACCGGAUAGGAUCUCCUGCUGCAUGGUGGGGGUUGGAAAGUUUCGGCGGUUGGGGAUGGACUCGCGGCUUAUCAGCUUGUUGGUGGGGUAGUGGCUUACCAAGGCUUUGACGGGUAGCCGGCCUGAGAGGUUGACCGGCGACAUGGGGACUGAGAGACGGCCCAGACUGCUACGGGAGGCAGCAGUGGGGAAUAUUGCACAAUGGGCGGAAGCCUGAUGCAGCAACGCCGCGUGCGUGAUGACGGCCUUCGGGUUGUAAACCGCUUUCGCCUGAGACGAAGCGGGAGUGACGGUAAUGGGUAAAGAAGCACCGGCUAACUACGUG
rnacentral:rRNA from 1 species